AUGACCUUUUUCGGCACCAAUGGGAAGCGAAGCCCAUGGAGGAGCAAUAAUUACCCAGAGACCAAGAUUAAAAACACAGUGUAUUUUCACAUUCAGAUUUUCAGCUUCCUGCUAAUUAGUGCCACAGUCAUAGUGUCCAAUGGAGAAAUUGUGCUCACUCAGUCUCCAACAACCAUGGCUACAUCUCCUGGGAAGAAGGUCACCAUCACCUGCCGUGCGAGCUCCAGUGUAAGCUACAUGCACUGGUACCAGAAGUCAGGCACCGCUCCCAAACUCUGGAUUUAUGGCACAUCCAACCGGGCUUCUGGAGUCCCAGAUCGCUUCAGUGGCAGUGGGUCUGGGACCUCUUAUUCUCUCACAAUCAGCUCCAUGGAGGCUGAAGAUGCUGCUACUUAUUACUGCCAGCAGUGGGAUAGUAUCCCACUCACACAGUGAUACAGACUAGAACAAGAACCCUUUAUCUCCCC